CUCGGUUACCAAAUAGUAUUCUAACACAUUUCUUCUGAGUGAUAAAUAUUGGUUCAAGCCUGUUGUUACUAAGGCCACCCCAUACUGAUAUCCCAAAUCGCAAGUGUGAUUCAAAUAGUGUGUAGUACAGUUCUUUGUAGAGUUUUUCUGGAAUAAUGUGCCGUAUUCUACAAAUUUUCCCACUUUCACAUUUCAGCUUUGUGUUGAGCGACCGUAUAUGAGCAUCCCAUUUAAGCUGAUCAUCAAUAAUAACACCAAGAAACUUCACCUUUUUGACUUGCUUUAUUACUACAUUGUUUAGAGUCAAUUCUGCUAGAGUCCAAGUUUCUAUCAAAGAUUUGGAAGAUGGGUGAGUGGUGUGAUAUACGGUCAGUCAGUAUUCCAGAAGCUACUAUACUCUCUACGUCGUAACUACACUUGGGGAGACUGUCAAGGAUGUCAGAGAGUUCAGAUAGUGCAACAUUGACAUUACCACUUGGAGGACGGUACAUUACACCAACUGUUACUGGGGAAGUUGUACUACUUACGGCCACAAAAAGAGUUUCUAAAUGUUCAGUGAUAUGGGAUACAUUGCCGUUUACUCUGGCACUAAGAGUGUCACAAACAUAGAGAGCCACUCCAGUGCCCUUUUUUUUAUCUGGUAUUGUGUUUUGGUAGAAACUGUUGUAUCCAGUUAAUUGAUACAAACUGCUGGAUUCAGGACCUUCAUUUGU